AGCUAAUUGAGGACUGCCUGAGAGACAGGCCAUGCCAGCCAAUCAGGAACUGCUGUGUAGAAGAGAUGCUUUCUGGAACCAAUGGGGCCUGGGUGGAGGGUACCAAAGGAGUUUGCAGCAGUCCUCAGGAUUUAUUUUGUGUAUACACCUGGGGCCCGUGAAGGUCAGAAGAGGACAUCUGAUCCCCUGGAACUGGAGUUACAGAUGUGACCGUGAGCCAUCAUGUAGGUGCUGGGGACCAAGCCAGGGUCCUCUGCAAAAGCAAAGCAAACAACAAAAACAAGAACAAAAAAAAUGCCUUUGUCUGCAGAGCCAACUGAGACAUAUCCCGAGCCCAGGAUGAAAUCUGAGACCUAUACUCUUUAAAACCUCCGUCCUAGGCUCUGUUCCCAAAAUAGAAAAACUAAAAUUGAAAGGUAGAAGCCAGUGCCUCGUACCAGACCAACAAGUCAUUUGUAAUGAACGUUUGCAAGCAAAGAAGAGUCAAAAGGGUAUUUACUGUGGGACACACUGUAACACACUGCAACUUCUAUGGAGAGACUUUUCUCUGAUGAAAGGAAAGCUCCAAG
rnacentral:lncRNA from 1 species